AAAAGGUGGCUAUGCUACCGCUUUUGGAUGGGCCCGCGGCGCAUUAGCUAGUUGGUGGGGUAAAGGCUUACCAAGGCAAUGAUGCGUAGCCGAACUGAGAGGUUGAUCGGCCACAUUGGGACUGAGACACGGCCCAAACUCCUACGGGAGGCAGCAGUAGGGAAUCUUCCACAAUGGGCGAAAGCCUGAUGGAGCAACGCCGCGUGGGUGAAGAAGGUCUUCGGAUCGUAAAACCCUGUUGUUAGAGAAGAAAGUGCGUGAGAGUAACUGUUCACGUUUCGACGGUAUCUAACCAGAAAGCCACGGCUAACUACGUGCCAGCAGCCGCGGUAAUACGUAGGUGGCAAGCGUUAUCCGGAUUUAUUGGGCGUAAAGGGAACGCAGGCGGUCUUUUAAGUCUGAUGUGAAAGCCUUCGGCUUAACCGGAGUAGUGCAUUGGAAACUGGGAGACUUGAGUGCAGAAGAGGAGAGUGGAACUCCAUGUGUAACGGUGAAAUGCGUAGAUAUAUGGAAGAACACCAGUGGCGAAAGCGGCUCUCUGGUCUGUAACUGACGCUGAGGUUCGAAAGCGUGGGUAGCAAACAGGAUUAGAUACCCUGGUAGUCCACGCCGUAAACGAUGAAUGCUAAGUGUUGGAGGGUUUCCGCCCUUCA
rnacentral:rRNA from 1 species